rnacentral:rRNA from 1 species
UAAUACGAAGGGAGCUAGCGUUGUUCGGAAUUACUGGGCGUAAAGGGCGCGUAGGCGGCUUGAUAAGUUUGAUGUGAAAGCCCUGGGCUUAACCUAGGAAUAGCAUUGAAUACUGUCAGGCUAGAGGCCGAGAGAGGGAAAUGGAAUUGCGAGUGUAGAGGUGAAAUUCGUAGAUAUUCGCAAGAACACCAGUGGCGAAGGCGAUUUCCUGGCUCGGUACUGACGCUAAGGCGCGAAAGCGUGGGGAGCAAACAGG